rnacentral:rRNA from 2 species
UUUGCGUCGAAGGUAUACCGGUAAGGAGUGCUGGAGCGAAUAGAAGUGAGCAUGCAGGCAUGAGUAGCGAUAAUUAAUGUGAGAAUCAUUAACGCCGUAAACCCAAGGUUUCCUACGCGAUGCUCGUCAUCGUAGGGUUAGUCGGGUCCUAAGUCGAGUCCGAAAGGGGUAGACGAUGGCAAAUUGGUUAAUAUUCCAAUACCAACAUUAGUGUGCGAUGGAAGGACGCUUAGGGCUAAGGGGGCUAGCGGAUGGAAGUGCUAGUCUAAGGUCGUAGGAGGUUAUACAGGCAAAUCCGUAUAACAAUACUCCGAGAACUGAAAGGCUUUUUGAAGUCUUCGGAUGGAUAGAAGAACCCCUGAUGCCGUCGAGCCAAGAAAAGUUUCUAAGUUUAGCUAAUGUUGCCCGUACCGUAAACCGACACAGGUGGGUGGGAUGAGUAUUCUAAGGCGCGUGGAAGAACUCUCUUUAAGGAACUCUGCAAAAUAGCACCGUAUCUUCGGUAUAAGGUGUGGUUAGCUUUGUAUUAGGAUUUACUCCGAAAGCAAGGAAACUUACAACAAAGAGUCCCUCCCGACUGUUUACCAAAAACACAGCACUCUGCUAACUCGUAAGAGGAUGUAUAGGGUGUGACGCCUGCCCGGUGCUCGAAGGUUAAUUGAUGGGGUUAGCAUUAGCGAAGCUCUUGAUCGAAGCCCGAGUAAACGGCGGCCGUAACUAUAACGGUCCUAAGGUAGCGAAAUUCCUUGUCGGUUAAAUACCGACCUGCAUGAAUGGCGUAACGAGAUGGGAGCUGUCUCAAAGAGGGAUCCAGUGAAAUUGUAGUGGAGGUGAAAAUUCCUCCUACCCGCGGCAAGACGGAAAGACCCCGUGGACCUUUACUACAGCUUGACACUGCUAUUUGGAUAAGAAUGUGCAGGAUAGGUGGGAGGCUUUGAGUAUAUGACGCCAGUUGUAUAUGAGCCAUUGUUGAGAUACCACUCUUUCUUAUUUGGGUAGCUAACCAGCUUGAGUUAUCCUCAAGUGGGACAAUGUCUGGUGGGUAGUUUGACUGGGGCGGUCGCCUCCCAAAUAAUAACGGAGGCUUACAAAGGUUGGCUCAGAACGGUUGGAAAUCGUUCGUAGAGUAUAAAGGUAUAAGCCAGCUUAACUGCAAGACAUACAAGUCAAGCAGAGACGAAAGUCGGUCUUAGUGAUCCGGUGGUUCUGUGUGGAAGGGCCAUCGCUCAAAGGAUAAAAGGUACCCCGGGGAUAACAGGCUGAUCUCCCCCAAGAGCUCACAUCGACGGGGAGGUUUGGCACCUCGAUGUCGGCUCAUCGCAUCCUGGGGCUGGAGCAGGUCCCAAGGGUAUGGCUGUUCGCCAUUUAAAGCGGUACGCGAGCUGGGUUCAGAACGUCGUGAGACAGUUCGGUCCCUAUCUGCCGUGGGCGUAAGAAGAUUGAAGAGAUUUGACCCUAGUACGAGAGGACCGGGUUGAACAAACCACUGGUGUAGCUGUUGUUCUGCCAAGAGCAUCGCAGCGUAGCUAAGUUUGGAAAGGAUAAACGCUGAAAGCAUCUAAGCGUGAAGCCAACUCUAAGAUGAAUCUUCUCUAAGCUCUCUAGAAGACUACUAGUUUGAUAGGCUGGGUGUGUAAUGGAUGAAAGUCCUUUAGCUGACCAGUACUAAUAGAGCGUUUGGCUUAUCUUUAAUAAAGCAU